rnacentral:rRNA from 1 species
AUUGAACGCUGGCGGCAUGCUUUACACAUGCAAGUCGAACGGUAACAGGCCUUCGGGUGCUGACGAGUGGCGAACGGGUGAGUAAUGCAUCGGAACGUACCCAGAGGUGGGGGAUAACGCAGCGAAAGCUGUGCUAAUACUGCAUGUGAUCUGAGGAUGACAGCGGGGGACCGCGCAGCAAUGUUUGGCCUCGCGCCUUUGGAGCGGCCGAUGUCGGAUUAGCUAGUUGGUGGGGUAAAGGCCUACCAAGGCGACGAUCCGUAGCUGGUCUGAGAGGACGACCAGCCACACUGGGACUGAGACACGGCCCAGACUCCUACGGGAGGCAGCAGUGGGGAAUUUUGGACAAUGGGCGCAAGCCUGAUCCAGCAAUGCCGCGUGCGGGAAGAAGGCCUUCGGGUUGUAAACCGCUUUUGGCAGGAACGAAACGGUGUCCGCUAAUACCGGGCGCUAAUGACGGUACCUGCAGAAUAAGCACCGGCUAACUACGUG